GCGUCAUCCUAUUUUCACAAGUUCUCUUUGUCUUGCCACAUUACUUAGGGUGGGAUUUUUCCAGGUGCCAACAGGAAGCCCUUUGCGCAUUUUACUCCUCUUCCCCUGGACGGUUUGUCCCUGCUCUGCGGCCUGAAGGGCGAGUGAAUGAUCUGGAGAGUGAAUGCCCUGCUUGCCGGGCAGGACAGUUCGGAUCGCUUAGGUGCAGCCAAUCAGGUCACAGGGCCAGUUUUAGUCUGGAUAAGCCCUCUCUGAAAGGGGCCCUGCUCCUGUAAUAACGGGGAAAAUCCUCUACGUGAAAGGCCCGGGCCACGAUGGGCUCAGAAAUGCUGAUUCCGCGUUUGUGUGAUCACAGCGGCUCCGCGUGGCCCGCGGCUCAGGUAUGAGGCGCAGCUGGUUUGUGUCCGUGUCAAGGGUGGAGACGGCUUGUCUGCCCAACUGGGUGACGUGGGCCAGCGCCUCUGCGUAGGCCUCACCUGCUUCUAAAUGGAAGAGAAAGUCCAACUGCUGGAAAGCAGACCUCCCGUGGGCCCGCAGCCUCCAAAGUCCCAGACCUUCCCUGAAUUUGCUUCUGGUAAAAUCCUGAGGGACGCUGGCACCCUGAAUCACCAUGGGCAAUGAGAACAGCACCUCGGAAAGCCAGCAUCUCCUCUCCACCCAGGAAGGAACAAGUGAAAACACAGGUUAUGCAUAAAUACAUACGGACACACAGAAGCAUUUAACAUUUGCAUUUUCAGAAUUCUUGUAUUAAGGCUAGCCCUGAUUUUAUAAACCAUAUUAAAAAAAAAACUAGUUUAACUAUUUUGUGCUUUUAAAAUAAUAAGAGUUUGGCACAUUUUUCCUGGAUUGUGACCACCCAUCCGUUUACUUAUGUGGAUGCAUCAGAGGAGGUUGAAAUGAAACCUUAUCCACACUCCUCCCCAAAAUAAAGUUAUGGCCCUUAAAGAGUGAUCUUCAAAUCUAUCCAUGUUGAGCAGAUUAAACGUGAACUAUCAUUUCCAUGUUAGGGAAGGUUUUCACAACUGAGGAAUGAGCUUUAACUGCUUAAUUGCGCAUACACCUGGGACUGUUAAAAUAUAUUCAAAUUUUAUAGCUCUCCAUUUUCAGUUUGAGAGACUUAAUUCAAUGCCCUGGUGAACAAAAUCAGGAGGACGCUUUCCUAUUUAUCUCACACACAGUGGAAAUUUUGGAUUCAUGGUAUUGAGUUUUCUGAGUGAGAUAAUUGGAUCUGAAAGGCAGCAUAAGGCAAUUUGCUUUCCCUCUGCCUUCUUCUUCCCUACAAUCCUCUUUUCUCAAGGAGGAACACAGGAAUCAUUGAGACAAAAUGUGGCAAACUCCAGUCUUUAGGAGCAGGCCAGAAACAGUAACUGUGGUCAAUGGCAGGGUGUGAGACAAUAGGGAGGAGGAGGGACUGUGGCAAACAGGAGGGAUCCUGUCCUAUUGUCUGAAGGAGGCACCACCAUCAACUCUGGCUGAUGGCUGCCACGUGGGAGUGCAGACCCAGUGUCACAAGAGCUUCCUAUCUCUUCAAGAGAAGUCAAAAGCCCGUAAUUUUCUAUGAAAUCAUAAAAGCAUUUAUAGUUAAAUUUCUUAUGUUGAGGCAAUGGUAGAUUGGCAUGCUGUUGCAAGACCUAAUACAGAGAGGUCCCUGAACCCUUUACCUAGUUUCCCCCAGGGUAACAUCUUUUGAAACUACAGCGCACACCCAUACCCACAUUGAGACAGUCAAGAUACCGAACAUUUCCAUCACCUGAAGGAUUCCUUUCAGUUUUCCUUUCACCACCUCCUGUUCCCCACCCCUAAUCCCUGGCGCCUCCUCGUUUGUCCUCUAUGUCUGUAAUUUUGGCUUUCUGAGAAUGUUAUAUAAAUAGAAUCACACGGUGUAGGACCUUUUGGAAUUGGCUUUUCUCACUCUGCUUAAUUUCCUCGAGAUUCAUCCAGGUAGUUACGUGUAUCAGUAGUUUACUCCUUUUACUUGCUGAGUUGUGCUCCAUGGUCUAGAAACAUCUGGUUGUUUCCAGCUUGGGACGAUUACAAAUAAAGCUAUUGUGAACAUUUGUAUACAGGUUUUUGU